GCAGAAUGUCUAAAUGGGGCAUCUGUGAAGCAGCUUCUACUCUAAUAAGUUCUUACCACGGAGUGUGCGGUGUGACACUUCCCAGUUUGGAAACAAAGGUGGAAUUUGGUUGCCACCAAGGGUCACGCGCAAUAGAGACAGCACAGAGGAGGGGAGAUCUCUUUCGGCAGCAAUCCGAGGGACCAGAAAGCAGCUGUUACCGGGGUGGGGGUGGGGGGGAACUGUGUCCCCCGGAGGCUCAUGUGCUGAAGUCCUGACCCCUAGUACCUCAGAAUGUGACUGCAUGUAAAGAUAAGGUGUGUAAAGAAGGAAUUAAAUUAGAAUAAGGAAAAAGAUGAAGGGACUACGAAGGACGGAUUGGCAGUUGUAAGAAUAGUAUAUGGAGAUGUGAAGUACAGCCCAGGAAAUGCAGUCAAUAAUAUUGUGGUAACUGUGCGUGGUGUCAGGUGGGAAGGAGACUUACCUGGGCGAUCCCUUUGUAAGUUAUACAAAUGUCUAACCACUGUGUUGUACACCUGAAAUCACUAUAAUCAUUGUAUGUCAACUGUGGUUAAAUUUUUAAAAUUAUAAUAAAUACACAAACAAAUAAAGAAUGAGGUCAUUAGGAGAGGCCCUAAUCCCGUAUGACUGGUCUCCUACCCCGGGAUUCUACCACUCCCCACGCUCUGCCCAGGACGGAGGGGAGGGUUUCUUCCAUCUCACUGUGUUCAUGGUCGCAGAGACCCCUCCCAGGAUGCCCCCUGCAUCGACUCCUCACCGCCAGUCCCUCUGCUGUAGAGAAUCUUUUCUAACUCCCGACCAGCAAGCCUUCUCCUACAUAACUGAGCAUUCUCACAACUCCGUUACAUGGUUUCUGCACAAGCACCCUUUCAGUUUCCCUUUGAGGUUUGGACUUUUGAACAGAUCAGAGAAAAUGCCGGUUUUUCUUUUUAGGUCCCAUCACUUGUUCCCCGAGGCAAUAUGCACCCAGUGGAAAGCAUGGGGGUGACACAAAGGAGCGAUGGCGACAGGAAGUUAGACCUCCUCCAGAAUUUAUGAGAUUCAGCCCCGGCUGCGGUUGUGACCCACACCAGAGCAUCACAAGCUUCCGUGCGUAUCUCCACGAGGUGGCGUGUCUGCUAGGGACUGAAGAAGGUGGAGACACGGCUAUAUGGAGGCAUCAUGAAAGGAGCAAUUCUGCCUUCACAUCUUUCCUUUCGUACCCCAUCAUUGCCCCUGAGACAUUCAUGCCGAAAUCUGAAUCUGGCAGUUUAAAAGGUGUUCUUCAUAUUUUCAAAUGUUUAAAAGUUCGGGAAAGAAUACCAACAACUCUGACCAUUUUCCUUUUCAUUGUACUACAACUUCAAAGCUGGGUAUUUAAGCCAAAUGUUUUUUAUAUUUGGAGGAGGAAUGUGUGUGUACUCCUAUAUGUGUGCAUUGCUUUUUGCUUAAUAAAAUUUUGAAA